UACGGAGGGUGCAAGCGUUAUCCGGAUUUACUGGGUUUAAAGGGUGUGUAGGCGGGCCUUUAAGUCAGUGGUGAAAUCUCCGAGCUUAACUCGGAAACUGCCAUUGAUACUAUCUGUCUUGAAUUAUCUGGAGGUGAGCGGAAUAUGUCAUGUAGCGGUGAAAUGCUUAGAUAUGACAUAGAACACCAAUUGCGAAGGCAGCUCACUACGGAUAUAUUGACACUGAGGCACGAAAGCGUGGGGAUCAAACAGG
rnacentral:rRNA from 1 species